GAAUGUGAGGUGGUUUUCAUCCGUCACCUCAUUGAUCACCAGGGUUGAUUCAGCGAAUCUGGCUGGCUAGAUGUGUCCCCUUUCUCGGUCACCGCUGCAUGCUAGGUGGGUUAAAGACGAUGACUUUCCACAUAGAGAAGGACCCUUUCCUUAGUCAAGGGUGUCCAGGUA
rnacentral:snRNA from 1 species